CUCAGUUCGGAUUGUAGGCUGAAACUCGCCUACAUGAAGCUGGAGUUGCUAGUAAUCGCGAAUCAGCAUGUCGCGGUGAAUACGUUCCCGGGCCUUGUACACACCGCCCGUCACACCAUGAGAGUUGGCAAUACCCAACGUACGUGAUCUAACCCGCAAGGGAGGAAGCGUCCUAAGGUAGGGUCAGCGAUUGGGGUGAAGUCGUAACAAGGUAAC
rnacentral:rRNA from 1 species